AGAGUUUGAUUCUGGCUCAGGAUGAACGCUGGCGGCGUGCCUAACACAUGCAAGUCGAGCGGACCAAUGCUCAUUUCAGCUUUGCUGAUUUGAGCAACGGUUAGCGGCGGACGGGUGAGUAACGCGUGGGCAACCUGCCCUGUGCAGGGGGAUAACACAGCGAAAGCUGUGCUAAUACCCCAUAAGACUACGCUAUCGCAUGAUAGAGUAGUCAAAGCUUUAGCGGCACAGGAUGGGCCCGCGUCUGAUUAGCUAGUUGGUGGGGUAACGGCCUACCAAGGCGACGAUCAGUAGCCGACCUGAGAGGGUGAUCGGCCACACUGGAACUGAGACACGGUCCAGACUCCUACGGGAGGCAGCAGUGGGGAAUAUUGCACAAUGGGGGAAACCCUGAUGCAGCAACGCCGCGUGAGCGAAGAAGGCCUUCGGGUCGUAAAGCUCUGUCCUAAGGGAAGAAGUAUGACGGUACCUUAGGAGGAAGCCCCGGCUAACUACGUGCCAGCAGCCGCGGUAAUACGUAGGGGGCGAGCGUUAUCCGGAAUCACUGGGCGUAAAGGGUGCGUAGGCGGCCGAGUAAGCCAGAGGUGAAAGGCUACGGCUUAACCGUAGUAAGCCUUUGGAAUUACUUGGCUUGAGUGCAGGAGAGGAGAGUGGAAUUCCUAGUGUAGCGGUGAAAUGCGUAGAUAUUAGGAGGAACACCAGUGGCGAAGGCGACUCUCUGGACUGUAACUGACGCUGAGGCACGAAAGCGUGGG
rnacentral:rRNA from 1 species